rnacentral:rRNA from 1 species
AACGGGGGGGGCGAAGCGUUAUUCAUAAUGACUGGGCGUAAAGGAUGCGUAGGUUGUAAUAAUAGCUUUUGCUUAAAUAUUAGGGCUCAGCCUUAUGGUGGGUAGAGGUCGUUAUUAGUAGUAUAUAGCAGAAAAUAACCGUACUUUUUUGUGGAGAGGUAAAAUUCGUUGAUAUUUAGAGGACGAACAAUAGGCGAAGGCAGUUAUUUAGGCUUUAUAGACACUGAGGCAUGAAAAGCAUGGGGAGCGAACGGG